GGGGUGGUGGCGCAGUUGGCUAGCGCGCUGGGCUCGUAGUGCUUAACGAAUUGUUAAGCAAAUUCACCGCUCGGUGAGGUGUUUCCAGAGGUCGAGAGUUCGAUCCUCUCCCAUCCCA
rnacentral:tRNA from 1 species